UGUACUUAUGUGUGUGUUUGUUUAACAUGUGGACAAAUACAGACAGGUGCAAAAAAUCUUCUUUUGCAAUCGAGAACUUACUGUUCAGUAUGAGUUUUGAUACAUAUAAGAAAGGCUAUU
ensembl:snoRNA